UCUCCGUUGGUGAACCAGCGGAGGGAUCAUUAAAGAGAUGCAAAACUCCCAAACUAUGGUUAACAGACGUUCACCUAUGCUUCCUCGAGUUAGCCCCGGUCUCCGAUGUCCCCCGCCCGCACUGGGGCUCGCCGGUGGUACCUAACGCUUGAACUUUUAUGGCCUCUCUGCUUUUUUGUGCUUAAUGGGGCUAUACUUUCAACAACUGAUCCUUUGGUUCUGGCAUGGGUGAAGAACGCAGCGGAUGUGCAUAGCACCCCUCUUGACUUCAGUCACUUU
rnacentral:misc_RNA from 1 species